rnacentral:rRNA from 1 species
AUUGAACGCUGGCGGCAUGCCUUACACAUGCAAGUCGAACGGCAGCACGGGAGCAAUCCUGGUGGCGAGUGGCGAACGGGUGAGUAAUAUAUCGGAACGUGCCCAGUCGUGGGGAUAACGUAGCGAAAGCUACGCUAAUACCGCAUACGAUCUACGGAUGAAAGCGGGGGAUCGCAAGACCUCGCGCGAUUGGAGCGGCCGAUAUCAGAUUAGGUAGUUGGUGAGGUAAAGGCUCACCAAGCCGACGAUCUGUAGCUGGUCUGAGAGGACGACCAGCCACACUGGGACUGAGACACGGCCCAGACUCCUACGGGAGGCAGCAGUGGGGAAUUUUGGACAAUGGGCGCAAGCCUGAUCCAGCAAUGCCGCGUGCAGGAUGAAGGCCUUCGGGUUGU